rnacentral:lncRNA from 1 species
CUUUCUUCAGAAAUCGAGGUUGUGUUUCACGCAGGUACGAAGAAUGCAUUUCCUGGUGCCACUCCUCAUGGAGCAGCUGCAGGAUGUGGACAGGGACAUUGGCACAAAGGCCUUGGUGGUGCUCAGCCAUGUGGUCCAUGUCAUGGCCGGAGAGAGGGUGGCUGGCAUCGCUCUGCAGCUGUUGGAGAAGCUCCUGCCGCUCUUUGAUGACGAGCCUAGGCRCGUGCGAGAGCUCUCCAUCCACCUCUUCAAAGAUGUCAUGGAGGCUGUAGUGGGCAGCAGAGAUAAGCAGGUGAAGGAGCAAGUGCACAGGAGCCUGCUCCCCCUGGUCUUCCAUUUGCAUGACGAGAGCCUGAACGUGGCCCAGGCCUCACAGGAAGCCCUCCUUGGUGCUGCCAAGUUCCUCAAGUGGGAGCAGCUGGGACACCUGACCGUGGCAGCACAGACGUGGAGGAUCGGCGAGUGCCUGCUGGCGAGGGACAGCAGAAGGGCAGAAUACCUGCGCCAUAGCCUGUCGUGCUUGCAGAGCCCACAGGAGCCCUUGCGGGAGGCAGCCGUGAGGUUCACUGGUGAGUGGCAACCCCUGGGGUCCCUCUCUGUCC